AGAUGUUAGCUCAGGGCUAAUCUUCCUCAAGAAAAAAGUAAAGAAAAGAAAAGGAAAAAAAAAGAAACUGUCUUCAUCUAAAACUACAUGUAAAUACUAAUCAGUUGAGUUUCGUAGUACUAGUGUACAGUAAAUGGAUAUUUUUUUAAAAGCAGAUGGCAUUACAGCAUAAAUUUCUGUGAUAAAUAAGAAAAUUAAAAAAUACCUUUUGGCAUGCCAGAUCCAAUUGUGUUAAACACAUGGAUUCAUUAUUCUUUUAAAUGUCUCAAAGGACUAGAAUGAUAGGCCAAACCUGGGAGAAAGUCUAAUUAUCCCACAGGAUUGGGGUUUUUUGGUUUGGUUUUGCUUUGCUUUGUUUAAGGGGAAAAGAAAAAAGCACUAUGCCAUGGUUCUUUUCAAAAACAUUUCUAUAUAUUGAGGUGUAUUGAUCCUGAUAUGAAUUUUGUAGAAACGUAAGUAUAACAAUUGUUAAAAUUUUUUAUUACGUUCUGUAUCUGUCUACCUGAAAUGGAUUUCAGAAAUGAGGGACAUGAUAGUGGUAUAAGGUAGCAGUAAGUGCCCCAGUGAAUCAUUCCUUCCUAUAUACAUGCCCUCAAGUAGUUCCUUCCCAUAGUAGCUCUGAGCUUGGCCAUGUCAUGUGCUUUGACCAAUGAGGUAAUAAACAGCAAAUGUGACAGAAGCAGACACUUGAAAAGUGCUUGCCCACUGGAUCAUGCCCCUUCUGCUUCUUGAGAACCCUUGUGCUACACUGUAUGAGCACACCAGGGAUAGCCCCCUGGAGAUGAGCGAUGAUGUGGAGAGGGGCCCCAGCAUUUCCUGCCAUGCCAGCUUUCCCAGAGGAAAGCAUUCAAUAUUUAGUUGAAAGAAGUAACACUAUAUACUCUUAUAAAGACAUAUUGACCUUCUUAAGGCCAAAUACUACCAAGCCAGAAACUACCAACAAACUCCUCUGUCUCACAGUAACAAGAUAUUAAUAGCCCAUGGAGAAAUCAACGUAUAAUUUAGUUUCUGUUCACUUCAGUCCCUCUACUCUUUAGUACUAAAAUGAAUAUAAGAUCAGAAAGGGCGGUACAAAAUAACUAACAAACUCAUCAGAAAAGUUUUGGGAGAACAUUUUCAAACUUCUGGAUGAGCAAUUGGGACAUAUUAGAUUCUUACAUUGCAAGAAUUUUUUUUCUAUCAGAAAACAAAAGAUAACCCUCUCAUGCAGAAAAUGAGCUUGAGCCCACAAAUUGAUUUGAAUGGUUUAUCAUUUCUCUAAUCUCCUGAAAGACCUAUCCGCUAUGCCUGUGUAAGUAUUGUAAACCAAAUAAAAUUAGCAUUUUUCUCAGAAUUCCCCAAGAUAGGAGAAUCCCACAAGAGUCAUUCAGAAAUAAAUAUGCAUUGAACAAAUAUGUGAUAAUAUCAGUAAUUUUCUGUUUUCCUAUAAUCCCUUAGCAGAAAACUAUAAUCACACAGCACAAGAUCACAUGGAAGUAUGCCGUUGUCAUGAGUGAGGACAGGCAAAUUCCCUAAAGGACAUUAAACAACUCUAUUAUCGAACCUGAUAUAUCUUUUACCAGGAAAAAAAAAAGCACAAUGCCAAAAUAUGCUAGUUAUAUACUCAAUGUUUUGUUUGCAAAAUUACUUACAUUACCCUAUUUUUGUUCAACUCUAAAGAGCAAUUUCUCCCUAAUUACAACUGUCUCUUCUCUAGGAAGAAAUUUAUGCAUAAUAUAUAUUAUAGCAACAUUUUCUGCAUGAGUGGUACUUCAGCAAUUUGACUUUGGUGAAAAUAGAAAGAGAGCUCUUUCUCCCUUCAGAACAGCAGCAAGAAUACACAACGAGCUCUAAGUGAGGAAGACAUCGACUUCUCCUAACAUCAGAGAAAUGCCUGAAAGGAAUUCUUGUUCCACAAGAGAUGGCUAAAACAUUAUGCUCACAGUCACCUUUUCAGCCUCAAUCUGCAAAGGAGAGUCAAAGUUUAAAGAUACCAUUUUCUAGUCAAAACAAAAAUAAAAUGUCCCAAUAUUCUUAUCAUACAAUCCAUGAACAGUUGUAGGAUAUGAUUUGUAAAUAUUUGAGUUUCAUAAAUGGAAAUUGCAGCCACUGCAUCUUGGCAUAUUAUUGCCAGUAACAUCUCCUUACUAUGUAUACCACUCAAAAGCUAGAAUGAACUUCAGUUCACAUCUAGCCUUCUUGAAUAUGAAGUAUUCAGCCUCCUCAGUUACCAUCAGAUAAGGAGGCUCUUGCAGAAACAGUUGAAAAUCAGGCAGCAGUGCAGUGGCUGGAAUUGAACUGGCAGGGCUGCUUAUUGAGCGUGGUGCCUCGUUCCAGUCACUGCCUCUGUUCCUUUCUCUAGGAUGUUCAGCCCAUUCGAUGGAAUACCACUGUUUGAUGUCAAUAAAUCUUGAUUUCAGGUGGUAAAAUUAUCCAUGGAAGUAUAUCUUAAACACAUCACGAUAGAAUUGGUGUCCUCCCUUACACGAUGUAGGCAAGAAUGUGAUUCCUUUUCUUAAUAAAAUUUGGUCAGUUUGGACUAUUCCCUCUCCCUAGACAUAGUUGGCAAGUACAUUGAAAAUACUUAUUUUAACUCAACCAUAGCCACAGAGAAAUAUAUCACCAACCAAACCAAAGAUAUCCUGUUUAAAUCAAAGGAAACUAGGCUGCUCAGGAUCCUGAUGGCUGUAAGCAAAACAUGGACCAUAAAUCCGUCAUGCUAAGCACUAGUUUUUAUUGCUACCAUGGCUGCAUAAAAUUGGCUAGAACCAACAUUGCUGUGAAACCAUAAACCAACAAAAGCUUUACUUUUAGCGUCAGAAUCUCUCCAAGAAUAUCAGGCACUGUCCUUUGGUUAAAGCACUUUCAAUACAUUUUGGAAACAUUUCUGAUGGGAUCCUUCGGCUAUAAUUACUUUUCUUCCUCUCUGAAUUUGAAUCAUUCUACUCUGACCAUUUAGAUCCUCUCCAGAAAUUACCAUUGACCCUUGUGACCUUGCUUCUCAGCUAUAUCCUACUAGAAAAGCCUAUGAGAAAAUCCAGAAUUUCGGAGUUUUGAAAAUUGUAAUGGAGACCGUAGUGCCUGAAAUCUCUCUACUGCCUCUCUCGUCUUAGUUUAAACUCACUGUUUAUUCCAAAGUGAGAGAGGAAAACAUAUUCAUUGAGAACUUGUUACAAUGUUUAGAAGACUAAAAUUCCCUGAAAUCCAAAUUAAGGAUUUCUUCCCUGAGGUUUGGGGCAGCUCUAGCAACAAAUUUUCAUGUAUUAAUGGUGUUUACGUUUAUGACAAGUUAUUUUUCGAUGUAAAAUAUGGUUUGUGAACUGCAUUUUUAAUUUAGCUGCUCCUACAUGUUAGUUUUAAUUUAUCUGAUAGAAUGCAGGUUUAGAAGCAUAAAAUGAAAUCACUUUUAAAGUAGACUGUAAUUGAGACAUCCAUUAAGUUAGACUACGUUUCCCUUGCUUUUUCUAAGUCAGUGAUGUUUUAAUUUAUUUCAAUGGAAAAUUAUUUGUGCUGGGUAGCUAACAACAGUCCAAGUGUCUCAUAGUAAGAUAUUUACUUGUCUUAACCUUUCUUUGCAAUUGUUAGGGUCCUUGUCAUUUUGACUUCCUUUCAGCUAGUGACCUCUGCCCUGUCCCAAUUUAAAGAUAAACUAAAAGACAUUUCCCCUGGAUGCGUGUUUCUUCUAGUUUUUUCAGUGGAAGCAGUAGGCUCUAGUUGUCUAACCAAUUACCUCCUAUUUGAAAGGACUUGUGGGGUGUGUAAUUGUGUAUUGGGAGAAGGAAGUAUAGGAAAAAAUAAACAAGAAAAAAUGAUGUGUCAACUCUAAGAAGUGAGCCCAGAAUUCAACAUCAAAAUAAGAAAAGGAAAACUAUGAGAGAUAAUAAAUAAGAAGCCCUUCGUGAGUUAGCUUUUAUCAGCAAUAUUGUGGGCACACGUGAUAAUAUUUCAAAAACAGUUGAUUUAAAUAUGUGUCUGGAAUUGGAGUUAAGCAAAUCAUCUUUUAUACAAUUGCAUAUUAUUCAUAAAGUUUGUUUACAAAUACACUAGAAAUGGAGCACUCAUGAUUUAGAAUUUUACAGAAAAAACAUUUCCUGUGUCACUGGUAGCUUUAUACAAUAGCAUUUUCCCUCCACCUUUUCUUGCUCUCUGAGAAUAUGAUUCUUGGUGUUGCUUUUGAAGUCUUAGUGUUUAUUCCACCUUGUUGAUAACAAACUAAGGGAAUUAAUAAUAGAUUAAUAUCUAAAUAAUGGCUAGAAAAAGAGAGAGAAUUACUCUAAAUACCUUACAUACAUACAUACCUACACACAUAAGGGGGGUGUGUGCAUGUAUACAUAGACAAGCUCAUGUAUAUUGUCAUUUUUAUUCAAUUUUCAAGUUAUAUAGGCUGUUUGUGGGGUUUCCAUGUUUUCAGUUAGCUUAUGAAGGGAAAUCUGAUAGCCAAGUCAUUCCUUCACACAUUACGUUAUGGAGAAAGUCUAUAAAGUGAAAAGAAUAUCUAGCCAGACUUUAUAGUAGAUAUGGGAGAAAUUUACUGGGUUAGGACUAAAACAAUCUUUAUUACAGGAGACCGCACCUCAACUUAUAAUGGAGGAAACCAUCUCCUUUGGGAGAAAACAUGAUAAAAUAUGUACAUCUAAAAGCUGUGAAACCUGAAGAAAUAUACAGCUUCCCCCCUCCCUCCCUUUCUGCAUUCCUUUUCAUUUGGAGUCAGACUAUCUUAGGCCAUUAAUUAACCUUCAGGCCCUUGAGGUCACCUCCUUGGAUCUGUUCUCUAUAUAUCUAAAAGUUUUAUUUCUCAGUGAAUAUUAGAGAUACAUGAAUAUUGACUAUGUUGCCAAAAUAAAGAUGUAUUAUAUCUGCUAAAAUGCCUUGAGUUGUAAACAUGAAAAAAACCACAACGUUCGCUAAAGUAAUUUUGAAUAGCACAGGUGUUAAUUAGCCCAGUAUAGAAAUUUCUUUCUCAUCAAUGGGAGUUCUAAGAUAGUAUCAAUUAUAACUUAAAAAUAUUGUCAUAAUUAAGUCUUACAUCUUUGAAUAUCUGUUGUCUCAAGAAUUUUAAACUAUUCUGUGGUUUUACACACAAAUAUACAUAAAGGGUACCAGCAUGACCAUUGUGUUGAGUGGAAGAUUUAUUUAAAUUAUAUCUAUUUAAAGCAAUUGAGCUAGGACUACUUACUGGCUCAUACAUUGAAAAGCUUACUGCCUGUACUGGAAAAUGUGUUGACUUAGGAAAUGCGUCUACACAGAAAUAACAUUAACAAAGCUAAAUUAAGAAUUUUGAUGGGAUUGGAAAGCAUAAAUGUUCUUUAACUGUUUAUAUUAAAUCACAGGGUGUUUGAAAAAUUUAAUCUUUAACAGUUAUUUUAUAAACAUAUGAACUCCAAAAGUACUUCUAUAUCUGUACCUAUCAUAUAGACUUAACAUCUUUUAUUUAAUAAUCAUUUAAAUAUGUGAUUUUUCUUUCACAUACCAGAUUAUAAGCUUAUUGGAGCCAGGCAGGAUCGUACCCAACGCUUAAAACAAUGACCUGCAUAUUAUGGUUGCAUGAUAAGUAAUUGACAAAUAAAGAAAUGAAGAUUUAAAGUGGCUUAGUUAAUGUUAGUUUAUGAGUAUUUUUACGUAUAAAGGAGAGAGAAUUCCACCCUUUCUUUUAAACUUAGUGUUUUCCUAUAAUUAUGAAUAGGAGAGAGGAACCAAUUUUGUAUAAAUGUUGGUAGACAGAGUUUAAACUGCACAAUCCACUGGGCAGGUUAAGGAUAUCUAAGCUGACUGUGAAGAAGUUGUCCCAUGUUAAGUGUUUACGUUUGUUUUUCUUGUAUAUACUAAGAGGCAAAGGGAAUGAACAUAUAUUGUAAAUCAAAAAUGAAUUUAGUAAGUAAAGUAAAUCUCACAUUGAGUAUGAAAAGUAAGCAUUGGAGAGCUGGGGAUCCCAUAAAUGACAUUUUGCAAUGCCUUCUAAGCCAGGACCACUGAGCUUUAUGAACUAGUGUUAAAUAGAAGAAUGAAAAGUUUGUAAGGAAUUUAUUUAGUAUGAAGAGCAAAAGCAGGGCCACAAGGGUGAAGCCGUUCAUACAAUAACUUCCUGAUUCGUUUUCGUUUUUCACUUUUGACUUUUCUUUCUACAAGUGCUAGCACAUCCUUAUCAAAAUAAUUGGGAGAAGUAAGAAAGAUUUGGUUGAAAAUUUAACAUGGUAAUAAAUGGCUUUCUGAUUUGAAGAUGAAGGAGCUAUAUUUUGAAGUUAUUCAAUAGUCUGUGAGUCAGAUCUGAGUGUCCUUUACAACAUUACCACAAAUUGGCUGUGAGACUCCAAGCCAUCUCUCAACCUCUCUGUAUUUGGCUUGGGGUUGAAAUCGGAGCUCUACCAUUUUCCAGAUGUAUGACUUUAGGCAACUUUUCACUACACUGAAGCCUCCAUUUCUUCUUCUGUACGUAAGAGAUGAUGAUGAAGUGAUAUAAUGUACGUAAAUUUCCGGGACACAGUGUUUGACAUUUAAUUAACUCUCGGUAUAAUACUACCUUUAUUGUUGUUGUUGUUAUUAUUUUACAUCCCUGCCAAUAAUAAAAUUUUGUCAUUCUGCACUAUUUUGAUAUUGCUUUCUGUAAAACUUUAAAUAUUGGCACAUACUAUUUUGCAUAUAUUUUGUAACUAACUUAGAUUAUUUUCACUCAUGAGGAAUAUCAAAAACUUUCUCAGCAUCGAAUGUGCUCCUCCCAUCUCCCCCACUUUAGGUGGAAAUGUAUUUGUCAAUUCUGGUUCAAAAAUAAUUAAACAAGGGCCAGCCUGGUAGUGUAGUAGUUAAGUUCAGGUGCCCAGGAUUCAUGAGUCCAGAUCCCCAGCACAGACCUAUGCACUGCUCAUCAAGCCAUGCUGAGGCAGCAUCCCACAUACAAAAUAGAGGAAUA